rnacentral:rRNA from 1 species
GGGUUGUGAGGUUAAGCGACUAAGCGUACACGGUGGAUGCCCUGGCAGUCAGAGGCGAUGAAGGACGUGCUAAUCUGCGAUAAGCGUCGGUAAGGUGAUAUGAACCGUUAUAACCGGCGAUUUCCGAAUGGGGAAACCCAGUGUGUUUCGACACACUAUCAUUAACUGAAUCCAUAGGUUAAUGAGGCGAACCGGGGGAACUGAAACAUCUAAGUACCCCGAGGAAAAGAAAUCAACCGAGAUUCCCCCAGUAGCGGCGAGCGAACGGGGAGGAGCCCAGAGCCUGAAUCAGUGUGUGUGUUAGUGGAAGCGUCUGGAAAGGCGCGCGAUACAGGGUGACAGCCCCGUACACAAAAAUGCACAUGCUGUGAGCUCGAUGAGUAGGGCGGGACACGUGGUAUCCUGUCUGAAUAUGGGGGGACCAUCCUCCAAGGCUAAAUACUCCUGACUGACCGAUAGUGAACCAGUACCGUGAGGGAAAGGCGAAAAGAACCCCGGCGAGGGGAGUGAAAAAGAACCUGAAACCGUGUACGUACAAGCAGUGGGAGCACGCUUCGGCGUGUGACUGCGUACCUUUUGUAUAAUGGGUCAGCGACUUAUAUUCUGUAGCAAGGUUAACCGAAUAGGGGAGCCGAAGGGAAACCGAGUCUUAACUGGGCGUUAAGUUGCAGGGUAUAGACCCGAAACCCGGUGAUCUAGCCAUGGGCAGGUUGAAGGUUGGGUAACACUAACUGGAGGACCGAACCGACUAAUGUUGAAAAAUUAGCGGAUGACUUGUGGCUGGGGGUGAAAGGCCAAUCAAACCGGGAGAUAGCUGGUUCUCCCCGAAAGCUAUUUAGGUAGCGCCUCGUGAAUUCAUCUCCGGGGGUAGAGCACUGUUUCGGCAAGGGGGUCAUCCCGACUUACCAACCCGAUGCAAACUGCGAAUACCGGAGAAUGUUAUCACGGGAGACACACGGCGGGUGCUAACGUCCGUCGUGAAGAGGGAAACAACCCAGACCGCCAGCUAAGGUCCCAAAGUCAUGGUUAAGUGGGAAACGAUGUGGGAAGGCCCAGACAGCCAGGAUGUUGGCUUAGAAGCAGCCAUCAUUUAAAGAAAGCGUAAUAGCUCACUGGUCGAGUCGGCCUGCGCGGAAGAUGUAACGGGGCUAAACCAUGCACCGAAGCUGCGGCAGCGACGCUGAUGCGUUGUUGGGUAGGGGAGCGUUCUGUAAGCCUGCGAAGGUGUGCUGUGAGGCAUGCUGGAGGUAUCAGAAGUGCGAAUGCUGACAUAAGUAACGAUAAAGCGGGUGAAAAGCCCGCUCGCCGGAAGACCAAGGGUUCCUGUCCAACGUUAAUCGGGGCAGGGUGAGUCGACCCCUAAGGCGAGGCCGAAAGGCGUAGUCGAUGGGAAACAGGUUAAUAUUCCUGUACUUGGUGUUACUGCGAAGGGGGGACGGAGAAGGCUAUGUUGGCCGGGCGACGGUUGUCCCGGUUUAAGCGUGUAGGCUGGUUUUCCAGGCAAAUCCGGAAAAUCAAGGCUGAGGCGUGAUGACGAGGCACUACGGUGCUGAAGCAACAAAUGCCCUGCUUCCAGGAAAAGCCUCUAAGCAUCAGGUAACAUCAAAUCGUACCCCAAACCGACACAGGUGGUCAGGUAGAGAAUACCAAGGCGCUUGAGAGAACUCGGGUGAAGGAACUAGGCAAAAUGGUGCCGUAACUUCGGGAGAAGGCACGCUGAUAUGUAGGUGAAGUCCCUUGCGGAUGGAGCUGAAAUCAGUCGAAGAUACCAGCUGGCUGCAACUGUUUAUUAAAAACACAGCACUGUGCAAACACGAAAGUGGACGUAUACGGUGUGACGCCUGCCCGGUGCCGGAAGGUUAAUUGAUGGGGUCAGCGCAAGCGAAGCUCUUGAUCGAAGCCCCGGUAAACGGCGGCCGUAACUAUAACGGUCCUAAGGUAGCGAAAUUCCUUGUCGGGUAAGUUCCGACCUGCACGAAUGGCGUAAUGAUGGCCAGGCUGUCUCCACCCGAGACUCAGUGAAAUUGAACUCGCUGUGAAGAUGCAGUGUACCCGCGGCAAGACGGAAAGACCCCGUGAACCUUUACUAUAGCUUGACACUGAACAUUGAGCCUUGAUGUGUAGGAUAGGUGGGAGGCUUUGAAGUGUGGACGCCAGUCUGCAUGGAGCCGACCUUGAAAUACCACCCUUUAAUGUUUGAUGUUCUAACGUUGACCCCUAAUCGGGGUUGCGGACAGUGUCUGGUGGGUAGUUUGACUGGGGCGGUCUCCUCCUAAAGAGUAACGGAGGAGCACGAAGGUUGGCUAAUCCUGGUCGGACAUCAGGAGGUUAGUGCAAUGGCAUAAGCCAGCUUGACUGCGAGCGUGACGGCGCGAGCAGGUGCGAAAGCAGGUCAUAGUGAUCCGGUGGUUCUGAAUGGAAGGGCCAUCGCUCAACGGAUAAAAGGUACUCCGGGGAUAACAGGCUGAUACCGCCCAAGAGUUCAUAUCGACGGCGGUGUUUGGCACCUCGAUGUCGGCUCAUCACAUCCUGGGGCUGAAGUAGGUCCCAAGGGUAUGGCUGUUCGCCAUUUAAAGUGGUACGCGAGCUGGGUUUAGAACGUCGUGAGACAGUUCGGUCCCUAUCUGCCGUGGGCGCUGGAGAACUGAGGGGGGCUGCUCCUAGUACGAGAGGACCGGAGUGGACGCAUCACUGGUGUUCGGGUUGUCAUGCCAAUGGCACUGCCCGGUAGCUAAAUGCGGAAGAGAUAAGUGCUGAAAGCAUCUAAGCACGAAACUUGCCCCGAGAUGAGUUCUCCCUGACCCUUUAAGGGUCCUGAAGGAACGUUGAAGACGACGACGUUGAUAGGCCGGGUGUGUAAGCGCAGCGAUGCGUUGAGCUAACCGGUACUAAUGAACCGUGAGGCUUAACCUUACAACGCCGAAGCUGUU